GUACCCAGGGACACAAAACACUGCGGAAGGCUGCAGGGACCUCUACCUAGGAAAACCAGAAGAAGUCAUCCACCAGGUUGUGAGGACAUACAAACAGCCUUUGGAGAGGCCCACGUGGGAAGAAACAGAUCUCUCAUUAACUACCAGCACCACCUUGCCAGCCUUGUGACUGUAUCGCCUUGAAAGUAGACCUUCCACCUGCAGUCAAUUUUGAUGUUGCAGCCCCAGCUGACAUCUUGACUACAGCCUCACGAGAUGCACUGGGCCAGAACCUCCCAGCUCCGCCAUUCCAGAAUUCGUGAUCCACACAAACCAGAGAAGCUAUGAUUUCGUCAUUUUCUCCUAAUCAUGCCAAGCUGUGCUGACUUAGGGGAGGGGCUAUCAUAGGUAAAUACAAUGGCUUUUCUGACCUGUUUCAAUGUGACUGUUCUUGGCUUUGUGCUUUCCUGUGGUACUGUAACUUCUUAACUUGUCCUGGAGUUCUCAUAAGGCUUUUUGGACUAUAUACUGUUAAGUCAGUGUCUCCUUGGAGGAAUAAAGCCUGGGGCUUCCUAUUCUGCCAUCUUACUAAGGUCAUUCCAGAUACCAUAAUUU